AAGAAAAAAAAGGAGCUGUGCCAGCCAGCUCCAGGAUUGCUCAACACUAAUGAAAUUCCUCUCACUCUCGCAGGUAGAGUAUUCCAUACACUCGCGAUCCCCGAGGCACGUUGAACAGACUGAUGGAGUGAGAGCAGGUCGGGGAGUUCACGCUGGCUUUCAAGCUGCUGUCCUGUCUCUGCCAGCGCGCUCAUCUGCUGCCUGUCAAGAUGUCUCCUUGUUUAUGACUCCGAACACUCCGCUGGGCCUCCCUCCAUUGCAACCGGCUCGUACCUCGCACUCCCUUUCGCUCCACCUGCCCGUCACUCUCUCUUUCUGAGUGAUACACCGAGCCGCGCCGGUAUGCCUUCGAAUAAGCGACAAUGAGGACAUUGUGAUGUUUCGAAGAUUUUUCACAUCAAACUUGCGCACUUCCCGGAUCCUGUUGGUGCCAUUAUAGGCGUGGUGCAACAUGGUGACCUUCAUAAUUGGCGCACACCAAGCACGCUUUGGGUUAUUUACCAAAUGUGUACAUAUCUGGCGGGGGUUUAUUCGUGUCUCCAGUGACGUUUUUUUUUUUUAAAGGUUGACUGAGUUCAUUCCAGAGUAAAGCUAAACAAAGCUUCUACGUAUCUCCGUGGUUCUCUAAACGGCAACACGUGAUCGGCUUGCUUUUACGAUCCAAUGGACGAACGGCAGGCUGAACCCGAGGCAGCAAACAAGUGUGUGUGUGUCUGUAUUGGGGGCCGUGGGAGGGGGGGGGGGGUCUAUUUUAAGUAAGUCAACUAGCCUACAUUGAAAUAGUGUGAGAAUAUGAGACAGGGAAGGAAAAUGAAGAUAUUAGCAGUCAGUGACGAGGCGAUUCUGAUUGUUGAGGGCCCAGGGCGAGCAGCAGCAGCUGACACUGUUUCAUAUCAUCUCUGUAUGAUACUAAUCAGACACCCUGUGGUCCUGUUGCUUCUUUGGACCAGGCUCUCAUUCCUUUAGCAUAUAUUAGCUUAUAAGGACAACGUUUGGCACCACUAGUUUUCUCAUCGGACUUCAGCCAUUUGAUUGGCAUCUCAAUGCUGCUAAGAUUAUUUGAAAUGUUAUUAUGUGAUAUGAAAUAUUAUAUUCUGUCUUGCUGGUGGCAGCCCAAAUCAGCUGAUUAUAUACGAGGUGGCAGGUUGAAAUAAAAAAUCCUCCACUUUAGGGGGCAUACGUUGAGAUGAGAUACAUUUUAACGGCAUAUGAUUUUUGUAAUAUAUCAGGCAAGUUGAAACAGGUUUUAUCAUAAAAUUAUGAGGAUGAUGUAAAAGUGUCAUUGGACAUUAUUGAGAUUAUAAUUAUGAGAGAAUUAAUUAAAAAUAAUCAUAAGAGUACAACAAGUGAUUGUUAUCACGACUUUUCUUCUUUGACUGGCUGGGAGAA